GUAGGGCAUACUAACAUAAACUUCCGAGGAAAGCAAAGUAACAACACAAGGCAACCUGAUCCCACGACGUCCUUUUAUAGCACUUUGAAGCCCCUACCCCUUGUCUGGCGGUCAUAAAUGAAGGGAAAGGAGUGGAUGAUCUGCUGAGCUGCGGUGUGGAGUGGGUGGUGAGGUCAUGAGAGGAGAAAGAAGGGAGAGGAGAGAGAGGUCGUGAUGGAAGGACGUGACCUAGCUGUGGGGGUCGUCACUGUGGUGGUGUCCCUGGCGUGUUUGGUGGCCUUUGUGGCGCUGGGGUGGUAUGCAGUGUGGCGGCUCUUCCUCUCCCGCUUCAGCUUUGUGCGGGAGCUGUUUGGCAACCAACAGGAGGGUGGGUCAUCAGGGGUAGCCGGGGAGGAAACCAACCGCCCCAGCAGACCUCGAGCCAGCCGGAAGAUAAGACGAGACUGAUGGCGUGAUGCUGUGAGUCUGCCGCCGCCAUCCUUGCGUGUGUGGCGGGUGAGGGCACACCCCCAGGAUGGGAAAGGCUACCACCACCACUACCCCCUCUCUGGACAGCAGAAUGCACCUGUGCAGCAUUGCCUCAGUCUUACUGUGGCCAGAGCAGGCUGAGGUGCUGACACUGAGUGCUGGACUUUGUUCAAGAUACUGUUGGGUAUUCAUACAAUCAAAAAUAUCAAUUAAAAGAUGUUUGCAUUAUACAGUGAUUGCAGUGAGGUAACAUGUUCAAUUCACUUCACCAGGUGAGGUGCAUAACUGUGCUGAGUGUCCUGCCUUUUUCUCACUCUUCCCUGACCUACUGGAGUGUGUUACUGACCAGGUGUUGUAAGGACUGCCAGCAGAUUAGAGGAUGUGAGGCCAAGGAAAGACCACACAGCACAGUGGAAGUGAUGGUAUAAAUAACAUAUUAUAUUCGCUUCCAUUGUGUCUUCCCUCAGUUUACUUUGAUCAUCUUAAAAGAUACAAAUAAGAUAUGCACUGUUUUCUCUUCCACUGUAUUGAACGUCUUCUCUCACUGUUCUCUUAUAUGGUCUUAUUAAUGACCUGGGGUUUGUGACUAGAUUGCCAGCAGGUCAAUAAGAUGAGAGACAAACACUUGACUGAAGACCUGAAGUGUUGAAGCAAAGUUGUGUUAUGGCAGCCAAGGGAGGUGCAGUUGUACUUCUCAAGACUGCCCCCUUAGUGUCCACCUGUGUAGCUCACCACCAGCACUACUAUAAGGGAAUAGUGAUAUGCAGCAGACUUUUACUUACCUGGAUGGCUACAAAAAAAAGACACCUUAGUAUGAGUGUGGCUGCUAGUACAGAUCAUUAAGUUGCAAUGCAGUUCUGUUCCUCUAUCAUGUAAAGCAAUCUUCAGCAUAGGUUUAAGCCAGCCAGAGUAAACCCUGCCCCAAAAAAGCACCCAACUCACUGAAUGGUCACCUAGAACAAGAAAAUAACUUAUACCUGUGAAAACAAUACAUAGAGGACAUACAGGAAAUGGAAAAUAAAUUUGUAAUGAAAAAUGGGGAACAUAUAAAGACAACCACUGCCAGUGCCAUGACAACCAACCAGCUGGGAUCUAGACUGUCAUGCACCAAGGGCUAGAGCUGCCUGUGUCUUGUAACAAUGUGCCAAUAUAAAGCAAUGACAAAAAUAUUUUAUUCUUUAUGACUAAACUGGCAUAUAAAAAUAUCAAGUUCUUAGACAAUAUUAUUUUAUAUGUAAAAUUAUCAUCUGAGUUUUUAGAUAAUAUUUUAUCUAUGGUAGUGGUGGUUGAGGAUUGGGGGUUGGUAGAGGGACGUAGGGUGCAGUGACUCAGGCAGACAGUGACAUGCGUUUCUGUGCAGUGCUUGUGAUAUCACCUGUGGAUACCAGAUGUGUGUUUGUGUUGUUUAUGUGUGCUCUAUUUUUGUAUCAGUAAGAAAUAAAGGUGGUUGUUGAGGUGAAGCAACUGCAGAAGAGAGAA